rnacentral:rRNA from 1 species
GACGAACGCUGGCGGCGUGCUUAACACAUGCAAGUCGAACGAUGAACCCGGAGCUUGCUCCGGCGGAUUAGUGGCGAACGGGUGAGUAACACGUGAGUAACCUGCCCUUGACUCUGGGAUAACUGCGGGAAACUGUAGCUAAUACCGGAUACGACCCUCGGCGGCAUCGCCAGGGGGUGGAAAGAAUUUCGGUCAAGGAUGGACUCGCGGCCUAUCAGCUAGUUGGUGAGGUAACGGCUCACCAAGGCGACGACGGGUAGCCGGCCUGAGAGGGUGACCGGCCACACUGGGACUGAGACACGGCCCAGACUCCUACGGGAGGCAGCAGUGGGGAAUAUUGCACAAUGGGCGCAAGCCUGAUGCAGCAACGCCGCGUGAGGGAUGACGGCCUUCGAGUUGUAAACCUCUUUUAGUAGGGAAGAAGCGAAAGUGACGGUACCUGCAGAAAAACCACCGGCUAACUACGUGCCAGCCGCCGCGGUAA